CCCGCAAGCCGUCCAGCAUGGUGGGGCCUGCGGUGGCCCCGGCCGUUCCUGCAGCGCUUGCCAGAGCAGCCCCGGGGUGGUUUGAGGCCUCCCCCUGCGCCCCUCGGGGGGAGGCUAUAGAAAUCCCACACACGGCCCCGGCCUCUGCGAGGGUGGGAGAUGGGGGCAGGGGGCUGGGGGGGGUUCACCCGUUCCCACUGGGCCUGCAGAGCCCCCCCCUUCCCAUCCCUUCCUCUCCUAACGCCGUGCUGCUUCUCCCCAGGUCGCAGCCUCCCCUCCGGCGGCCGUGGAGGGCGUCUGAAGCUGCGCGGACCCAGCGGGGCUUUAACUCCCGAUUUCUGCACCUCUUGUACCACGAUGCGCUGGGCGGAGGGAGGAGCAGUGGCUCCAGCCCUGCCUUGGCCUCGCGAGGUUCCUCCCGUGCCGGUAUCGCAGCCGUAAAGCCGCCCGCCAAGCCGUGGGCAGUGAUCUGAGCCCCCGAAUCACGCUGUGCCCGGAUCCCGCGGAGGAGGAACGCCGCAGCCUGUGCCGAGCUCCCACCCCGCGUUGGUACCCGGACGUGCCGAGGAGCUGCGCCAUGGGGUGCUCGCGUCCUGAACCCCGCGUUCUGGGAGGGAGAGGGUUGGGGUGGGAUCCCCCCACUCUCACAACGGAGGCCGCCGCUCUCCGGAGCGCCCAGCGCCGAGUGUGAGGAGGGCUGAGCGCCGUACCGAUGUUUUGGGGUAAAACCUCUCCUGUUUAGCGCUGUACAGUGCGAGUCAGUCAAUAAAUACAAUUUCCCGAUGUUCCUGGUGUCUCCU
rnacentral:lncRNA from 1 species